rnacentral:snRNA from 11 species
AUACUUACCUUGUUGGGAGGGGCGGGCUCAUGUUUCCGCUCCCUCUACCUUGAUCAGCUGCAUUGCACAGCGCGGACUGGUUGGGGUACGGCUUUCCUUCGGGGACGCCGCCGGCGCAAUUUUUGCUGGCUUUCUCGUUUACGAGUGC